UAGCGGAAGUCAGGCCCCUGAGCACUGGGUCAUCUGCUGCUGGGGUGGGGGCCCCAGCCUCCCUGUUUUCUCCUAUCUCUGUACCAAGUGGAGCCACAAAGAAGGAGCAACACAAGCAAGAAAAAUCAGACCGUGAAAGGUUUCUGAGAAUUUCUGAACCAUCUGGAAGAGGUUCAGGACCUGUUCUCCCUUCUGGAAAGCCUGAUCCAUCCUCAGCACGAGGCAAGAAACACAGGAAGAGCAGGAAGGUAAGGAACCCUCAUCCCAGACCCAGCAUACCUGUAACUCGAUCAUCUUUUCUAUUAUUCUUUCCACUUUUCCGAGUCACUGGAGAGACUCACAAAAUGGGAAAGAAUAGAAUGGGUAUUCUCAGGAGAGAGAAGACCACCAUCCAUCCAAGACAAGCCAGACCAGGCAAGGGUUAGAGGGACAUGAGGAUUUCUCCCUGAAGAUCUCCAGCCGGAGUCCGGUUGUGGUGGUGGUGGGGGGGGGGGUCUAGGGCAGCAUCCCAAACACAGUGACGGGUGGCCAAGGACCGGAGGUUAAGAGCUGCCUCUCUAGCAGAAGUCAGGCCCCUGAGCACUGGGUCAUCUGCUGCUGGGGUGGGGGCCCCAGCCUCCCUGUUUCCUCCUAUCUCUGUACCAAGUGGAGCCACAAAGAAGGAGCAACACAGGCAAGAAAAAUCAGA